rnacentral:tRNA from 1 species
AUUUAUAUAGUUUAAAUAUUAAAACAUUACAUUUUCAAUGUAAAAAUAAAAAUUUAUUUUUUAUAAAUA